rnacentral:rRNA from 1 species
GGCAAAGCUCAAAUUUGAAAUCUGCUCAGUAGAGCCGAGUUGUAAUUUUGAAGAUGGCAACUCUGGGUCCGUCCUUGCUCAAGUUCCUUGGAAUAGGACAUCAUGGAGGGUGAGAAUCCCGUGAGGCAAGGGUCGCGGUUCUAUGUAGAGUGUUAUCGACGAGUCGAGUUGUUUGGGAAUGCAGCUCUAAGUGGGUGGUAAAUUCCAUCUAAAGCUAAAUAUUGGCGAGAGACCGAUAGCGAACAAGUACUGUGAAGGAAAGAUGAAAAGAACUUUGAAAAGAGAGUGAAAAAGUACGUGAAAUUGUUGAAAUGGAAGGGCUUGAAAUCAGACAUGGUGUUUUGCGCUCCUCUGCCCCUCGGGGUUGGGUACUCGCUUUCCACCGGGCCAGCAUCAGUUUGGAGAGUGGGAU